rnacentral:rRNA from 1 species
UACAGAGGUCUCAAGCGUUGUUCGGAUUCAUUGGGCGUAAAGGGUGUGUAGGUGGCGCUGUAAGUCGGGUGUGAAAUUUCGGAGCUUAACUCCGAAACUGCAUUCGAUACUGCGGUGCUUGAGGACUGGAGAGAAGACUGGAAUUCAUGGUGUAGCAGUGAAAUGCGUAGAGAUCAUGAGGAAGACCAGUGGCGAAGGCGGGUCUCUGGACAGUUCCUGACACUGAGGCACGAAGGCCAGGGGAGCAAACGGG